CCUACGGGGGGCAGCAGUGGGGAAUAUUGCACAAUGGGCGCAAGCCUGAUGCAGCCAUGCCGCGUGUGUGAAGAAGGCCUUCGGGUUGUAAAGCACUUUCAGCGGGGAGGAAGGCGGUGAGGUUAAUAACCUCAUCGAUUGACGUUACCCGCAGAAGAAGCACCGGCUAACUCCGUGCCAGCAGCCGCGGUAAUACGGAGGGUGCAAGCGUUAAUCGGAAUUACUGGGCGUAAAGCGCACGCAGGCGGUCUGUCAAGUCGGAUGUGAAAUCCCCGGGCUCAACCUGGGAACUGCAUUCGAAACUGGCAGGCCAGAGUCUUGUAGAGGGGGGUAGAAUUCCAGGUGUAGCGGUGAAAUGCGUAGAGAUCUGGAGGAAUACCGGUGGCGAAGGCGGCCCCCUGGACAAAGACUGACGCUCAGGUGCGAAAGCGUGGGGAGCAAACAGGAUUAGAUACCCUUGUAGUC
rnacentral:rRNA from 1 species